CCUACGGGAGGCAGCAGUGGGGAAUAUUGGGCAAUGGAGGCAACUCUGACCCAGCAACGCCGCGUGAAUGAUGAAGGUCUUCGGAUUGUAAAGUUCUUUUCUAAGGGAAGAAGAAAGUGACGGUACCUUAGGAAUAAGCCUCGGCUAACUACGUGCCAGCAGCCGCGGUAAUACGUAGGAGGCAAGCGUUAUCCGGAAUGACUGGGCGUAAAGGGUGCGUAGGUGGUUUGACAAGUUAGUAGCGCAACUCCGGAGCUCAACUUCGGAACUACUACUAAAACUGUUGGACUUGAGUGCAGGAGGGGCAAUCGGAAUUCCUAGGGUAGCGGUGGAAUGCGUAGAUAUUAGGAGGAACUCCGAUUGCGAAGGCAGCAUACCGGCUCCAUACUGACGCUGAGGCACGAAAGCGUGGGGAUCGAACAGGAUUAGAUACCCCUGUAGUC
rnacentral:rRNA from 1 species